UAAUUGAAACGAUAAUUAGGAACGUAUGUUUAAUAGGGAAUUAGGUGUAAUUCCUAAGCUGUCCCAGCAACUGUAAAUGAGGACGAACUGACAAUAAACCACUGCUUAUCAAGGCGGGAAGGUGUCACAGUAGGUUAAUCCAUGAGCCAGUAGACCUACCUAACAAAUCACUUCAAU
rnacentral:ncRNA from 2 species